rnacentral:rRNA from 1 species
AACGAACGCUGGCGGCAUGCCUAACACAUGCAAGUCGAACGAGACCUUCGGGUCUAGUGGCGCACGGGUGCGUAACGCGUGGGAACCUGCCCUUAGGUUCGGAAUAACUCCCCGAAAGGGGUGCUAAUACCGGAUAAUGUCUUCGGACCAAAGAUUUAUCGCCUUUGGAUGGGCCCGCGUUGGAUUAGCUAGUUGGUAGGGUAAAAGCCUACCAAGGCGACGAUCCAUAGCUGGUCUGAGAGGAUGAUCAGCCACACUGGGACUGAGGCACGGCCCAGACUCCUACGGGAGGCAGCAGUGGGUAAUAUUGGACAAUGGACGAAAGCCUGAUCCAGCAAUGCGGCGUGAGUGAUGAAGGCCUUAGGGUUGUAAAGCUCUUUUACCCGGGAUGAUAAUGACAGUACCGGGAGAAUAAGCGCCGGCUAACUCCGUG